AGAAAGCCUCCACAGCCUCAUCAAGUGUGUUGUCACUGUCGUGAAAAUCUAGGGUCCUAGAAAUGCGGUCCUGAAACAGCAGCCUCCGGCUUGGGUCGAAUACUGCCUUCCGGUAAUCCAAUUCGCCAGGGGGCGCUGUCAUCGCGAAUAACGAGGGCCCAAAACUGCGGUCCUAGAACUGCACUCCUGAAACUGCAGUCUCCAGUACUGCAACCAAAUACUAUUGCUUACGCCAGGUCUUGGUUCAAAAGCUACGAAGUCUGAUCUUUCCAGGUGAAAACUGCAACUAUGCAGAAAACUGAUGAUAACGACAAUUGCUCCUAGUUCAGCUCUACGUCACACAACUAUUUCAACCGAAGUUCAGACAACAUGGAAUGAUGUCUUGACGGUUCAGCAUUCUUGUUGACACUCUAGCAUCUACAGUGUUAGUGUUCAAGCAAAUACAACAAAAUGCAGGCAUAUGCAAUGUGCAUGUAUCCAUCUUAAAUAAACCUGCCAGCUUCAUUUGGACCACCACGUGA